GAAAUGCGAUAAGUAAUGUGAAUUGCAGAAUUCAGUGAAUCAUCGAAUCUUUGAACGCACAUUGCGCCCGCCAGUAUUCUGGCGGGCAUGCCUGUUCGAGCGUCAUUACAACCCUCAGGCCCCCGGGCCUGGCGUUGGGGAUCGGCGGAAGCCCCCUGCGGGCACAACGCCGUCCCCCAAAUACAGUGGCGGUCCCGCCGCAGCUUCCAUUGCGUAGUAGCUAACACCUCGCAACUGGAGCGCGGCGCGGCCACGCCGUAAAACACCCAACUUCUGAAUGUUGACCUCGAAUCAGGUAGGAAUACCCGCUGAACUUAAGC
rnacentral:misc_RNA from 1 species